rnacentral:rRNA from 1 species
AUUGAACGCUGGCGGAAUGCUUUACACAUGCAAGUCGAACGGCAGCACGGGUGCUUGCACCUGGUGGUGAGUGGCGAACGGGUGAGUAAUGCACCGGAACGUAUCCAAUAAUGGGGGAUAACGCACCGAAAGGUGUGCUAAUACCGCAUACGCCCUGAGGGGGAAAGCGGGGGAUCGUAAGACCUCGCGUUAAUGGAGCGGCCGAUGCCGGAUUAGCUAGUUGGUGAGGUAAAGGCUCACCAAGGCGACGAUCCGUAGCUGGUCUGAGAGGACGACCAGCCACACUGGAACUGAGACACGGCCCAGACUCCUACGGGAGGCAGCAGUGGGGAUAUUGGACAAUGGGCGCAAGCCUGAUCCAGCAAUGCCGCGUGUGUGAAGAAGGCCUGCGGGUUGUAAAGCACUCUCAGUGGGGAAGAACGGAUACGGGCCAAUACCCCGCAUCACUGACGUUACCCACAGAAGAAGCACCGGCUAACUCCGUGCCAGCAGCCGCGGUAA